CAGGACGAACGCUGGCGGCGUGCCUAAUACAUGCAAGUCGAACGGUCUUUCUAUGGAAGCUUGCUUCCACUGAGAAGAUAGUGGCGAACGGGUGAGUAACACGUGGGUAACCUGCCCAUAAGAGGGGGAUAACAUCCGGAAACGGGUGCUAAUACCGCAUAGUUUUCUUGAUCGCAUGAUUGAGAAAGGAAAGACGGCCUUUGUGCUGUCGCUUAUGGAUGGACCCGCGGCGUAUUAGUUAGUUGGUGAGGUAACGGCUCACCAAGACGAUGAUACGUAGCCGACCUGAGAGGGUGAUCGGCCACAUUGGGACUGAGACACGGCCCAAACUCCUACGGGAGGCAGCAGUAGGGAAUCUUCCGCAAUGGACGAAAGUCUGACGGAGCAACGCCGCGUGAGUGAAGAAAGGGUUUUCGGAUCGUAAAACUCUGUUGUCAGAGAAGAACAAGUUGGAGAGUAACUGCUCCAGCCUUGACGGUAUCUGACCAGAAAGCCACGGCUAACUACGUGCCAGCCGCUGC
rnacentral:rRNA from 1 species